CCUCUUUUACCCAGGCUGGUCUCAAACUCCUAGGCUCAAGUGAUCCUCCUACUUUGACCCCCCCAAAGUGCUGACAUGAGAGGCAUGAGCCAGCACUCCUGCCAAUAUGUUAACAUUCUCACAUUUGUUUCUUGAAUCAUUCUUUCUGUUUCUUGGUGGGAUUCUUGGUUUGUAGAGGGUGCUUUAAUACAGAAUGCCUGUUUUCCAUGGUGAUUAUGCUGUUACUCAUCUCCACUGCAAAGUGAGAAAUCCCAGUGUUCCACUUCUGUGCACUCCCUGUUUGGGCCAUUCUGGUGGGUGUACACUGGUAUCUCAUUGUGGUUUCAAUUGCAUUUUCUAGAUUAUUAGUGAGGUUUGAUACCGUUUCAUAUGUGCAUUAAUCAGUUGGAUAUUCUUUUUUGUGAAGUGCCAAUUGAAGUUUUGUACCGAUUUUUCUAUCUGGUUACCUUUUUUUCUUUUCAGUCAUUCAUGUGAGUGUCAUUGUGUGUUUGGGACAUGAACUCCUGGCUCUCUUUCUCAUAGAGCUUUCUCCCUCACUCAGGCCUGUGCAGCCACUUAAAGGUGCUUUCUGAUGAACAGAAGUUAGUGAAAUCCAGUUUGUUUCUACUUCAGUGGUUAUUCAUUUUGGUUCUUAAGAAAUCUUUUUCUUCCCCAGAUUUUCUUUUAUACUUUAAAGUUUUAUUGCAUUAACUUUCAUGUUAAGAGCUGUAGUACAAUUGGACUUGAUUUUUGUGCAUGUUGUGAGAUUGGGGUCACAUGUCAUAUUUUUCCCAUAGGGAUUUUGUCCAUAGCGUCCUUGUGCCAGCUCCUUUGGAUGAAAAGACUGUCCAUGGGCACUAUUCUGGGGUGCCGCCUUUGUCUGAACCAAGUGAUUGUCUGUACUUGUGCCUCUUCUGGUCUGGCAGCUUUUCCCUCAGUGACUGACUGCACUUGUUGGCACCUGUAGUGUGUUGUGGAGUAGAAAUGGUGACAGUGUGCUUCCUGGCCUUUUUCUUAGUAGCAGAGAAAAAGCUUUCCAGAUUUCACACACGAAGUAUGAUGUUUGUUUUAGGAGUCUCUUUUUAAGUACUUUUGAAUCUUAAGGAUGUUUUCUUCUGUUUCUGUUAAACUUCGUCAAAUGCUUUUCCUGCAUUACUUGAUCAUAGAAUUUUUAUGUUUUUCUGUUAAUGUGUGAAUUACUGACUUUUCAAAUGUUGACACAGUCUUCCAUUUCUGGAAUUAAACUGCUUUGAUCAUAAUAUUGGUUAUAUGGAUACAUAUUUCUGGUCUUGGUUUGCUAUUUUUUAAAGACAGUUUUGCAUUUGUAUUUGUAAUUUUUCUGGAUUUUGCAUGCCAUUUUCCUUGUGAUUUUUUUGGUGACCUCCAAUUUUCUUUUCUUAUAAUGCCCUGUAAGUUACUGGUAUUGAUGACCACCACCCCUUUACUAACAGAGCAGCUGCAAAUCAGGAAGAGGGUGAUGCCCAUGCAGCCCUGCUAGUUUCCGUCUCUCCACCGGAGAAUGUUAGCGAGCUGGGGGAGAUACUGGCUGAUGGAUCCACUGGCAGGAAAACGUAAUAGACAUUCAGGUUUUUGUAACCAAGGUUGUGCUAGUCUCAUAGAGUGAGUAGGAGAAUGUUUGUUCCUAUUCUUUUCUUGGAAGGGUGUAUAUAAGAUUGGUAAAAUUUGCCAUGUAAGCUCCCCGCAGGCCCCACCCAGGCAGCUGCCGGUGACCUGCCUGGGCGUGGGGAACGGAAAGCCGGAGCGGGCAAGAUGAGUUCAAUUCACCAUGGGGCUGUUGGUUAAAACCCAGGAGAAGCCACCAAAAUAACUGGUCAAUGAAUGGUCACUGAAAGGAAAUCAGAGUUGUUGACAGGCAAAUAAGGGAUAUCCAAAGAGAAGAAGAAGACGUGAAACGAUCUGUGAAAGAUGCAGCCAAGAAGGGCCAGAAGGAUGUCUGCACAGCUCUGGCCAGGGCCAUGAUCAGGUCAGGGACGGCCAUGAGCAAGCUGUAUGCAUCCAAAGCACACAUGAACUCGGUGCUCAUGGGGAUGAGGAACCAGCUCGCGGUCUUGAGAGUGGCUGGUUCCCUCCAGAAGAGCACAGAAGUGAUGAGGGCCGUGCAAAGUCUUGUGAAGAUUCCAGAAAUUCAGGCCACCAUGAGGGAGCUGUCCAAAGAAAUGCUGAAGGCUGGGAUCACAGAGAUGUUAGAGGACACUUUCGAAAGCAUGGACGAUCAGGAAGAAAUGGAGGAAGAAGCAGAAAUGGAAAUUGACAAAAUUCUGUUUGAAAUUACAGCAGGGGCCUUGGGCAAAGCACCUGGUAAAGUGACUGAUGCCCUUCCAGAGCCAGAACCUUCAGGAGCGAUGGCCGCCUCAGAGGACGAGGAGGAGGAAGAAGCUCUGGAGGCCAUGCGGUCCCGGCUGGCCACACUCCACAGCGAGGGGUGGCCUACCUGCUGGGUGUGCACACGCUCCUCUGAAGAGCUGCCGUUUCAUGUAUUUCUUGCAUCACACCUCUGUUGUGAGGACUACCAUGUUGGAGAAGGCUCUGUUUGUCUCUUUUCACUCUCUGCCCAGGUUUUGGGAUUGAAAAGUGGUUGUUCUUAAAAAGGUUGUGUAAAUAAAGGCAUCAUUUUUAGGAGUAUAGACAGAAAUAUCUUAUUGUGGGGAGGGGAAGGAAAUCCAUCUCCUCAUAAAGCACUUCUGAAAAUACAGGUGAUUGCCUGAAUGUUGAAGACUCUACUUUUGUCUAUAAAACACUAUAUAAAUGAAUUUUAAUAAAUUUUUGCUUUAGCACCUGGC